rnacentral:rRNA from 1 species
CAAAAACAUUUUUUUUUGUUAGUUUUUGAAGUAUGGCCUGCCCACUGACUUUGAGUUGAGGGCCGCGGUAUUUUGACCGUGCAAAGGUAGCAUAAUCAUUAGUUCUUUAAUUGUGAUCUGGUAUGAAUGGCUUGACGAGACAUAAGCUGUCUUGGGGGUAUUGUUUGUUGAAUUUGGUUUUUGAGUUAAAAUUCUUAGAUGUUUUUAUGGGACGAGAAGACCCUAUAGAGUUUAACAUUUGCCCUGCUUAAUUUUUUUGUUUGUUAUUUUUGUAUAAGUUGGGUUUUUGUUUUGUUGGGGUGAUGGGAGGAAUUAUUUUAACUCCUCUUUACUUUCCAAUAUUUAUUUAUAUGGGGGGGCGAUCCUUUUAAUUUGAUAAAAAAAAAAAAUUUCCUU